AGUUGUGUUUGAGUCCCUCAGUUGUCCUCAGUGUGAAAAGACGGAUCUCAAAAUCAUUCAGUCACUGCUGUAAAGGGUUCAAAUAUGCAAAAAAUGCUGGAAAACUGAAGAAUCUGCAGGACCUGGAGAUUUUUUUCUGAAGAACAGAGCUCAGUUUAACUGUUCAGAACAAACAAGAGACUCAUGAACAACCAUCAGAAAACAAUAAAACAGUCGUAGAUCAUCCAGGUAACCACACACAGUAUUAAGAAUCAAGGGUUCACAAACUUGUGAAUGGGGUUAUUUUAAUAAAUUCAGCUAUUUUUUUGUCUUGUGGAUUAUAUGUAAACAUCUUUUAUGUAAAAUAUCUUACUCAGGACAGUACAGAAACAGUAAAUAGUUAAAGAAACAGUGUUGUAACAAACAAUCUUUUAUUUAAUUUCAAAUUAGGAGCAGGAACAACAACAGCACAUCUACUCUACUGACUCAUAAUCUGCACACUCUACAGAAUUUGACCAUCCUCUGUCCGGAGAGUCUAAGAUCUUGGGCUCACCUCCUCCAGGACUGUGGCUCUUGUAGUCCAGGUGCUUUUGUUUCCUUUCCGCAGGGACAGUGCCUGCAAAAUCACUGCCUGAUAGGGCAGAGAGGCAACAAGUCAGCUGCCUAUGGGUACUUCGCAUUUCUUAUUUGUGCAUCCUCGUUUCCUUCCCUCGCUUCCUUUCCUGGCGUCUCAGCUCCACCCACCUUAGAAUGCGAGGGAAGGAUACACCUGUGU